CUUCCCUUUUGCAGCAGAACAGACCUCUUUGGAGUCUGGCUCCAUCACAUUCUCGCUCACAUUGCCGGGUUUCAAAAUCGUGACAUAGCAAGAGUCCGACGGGACAGGGAGUUGUGAUGGGACAAAUGUUGCAUGGUGCGCUUGAAGACAGCAACCAAGGAAACACGGUAUAUGCAGAACCAUCAACUUAGUGGUCAAGCUCAGAUAUAAAUCCAGAACUACCUCAUCAGCAUCCAAUACUGGAUCCAGCUCAGAGAAGAGAGAAAAAGAAGCGCAAUCUUGUCACCUCCAUCAUGUACGCAGUAUUUGUUAUAGUGAAUUGAGUUCCAGAAAGAAUUCCAUUUAGGAAAAAUAAUGUGAGCCUCCACAAGUCACUAACUAAAUUCUAGGAGCUGUCUUCCAAAAAGGCCUCUUCUUCCAAGCUUUAUGAGACUACAUCUCAC
rnacentral:lncRNA from 11 species